UACGGAGGGUGCAAGCGUUAUCCGGAAUCACUGGGUUUAAAGGGUACGUAGGCGGUUUAUUAAGUCAGUAGUGAAAGACUGUCGCUCAACGACGGAUGUGCUAUUGAUACUGGUUAACUUGAAUCAGGUUAGAGUUGGCGGAAUGGGGCAUGUAGCGGUGAAAUGCUUAGAUAUGUUAUGGAACACCGAUUGCGAAGGCAGCUGGCUAAACAUAUAUUGACGCUGAUGCACGAAAGUGUGGGUAGCAAACAGG
rnacentral:rRNA from 1 species